rnacentral:misc_RNA from 1 species
UUAACUAUUAUAUAGUACUCAGACGACACUAAAUGACAGAGUUGGGUCCUCUGGCGGGCACUUACCAGCCGAAGCCGGUAGCCUAGGCGGCCCGCCAAAGCAACAAAGGUAUGUAUAUCAAGGGUGGGAGAUCUACCCGUUAGGGCAUGAACUCUGUAAUGAUCCUUCCGCAGGUUCACCUACGGAAA